rfam:Eutrema salsugineum unplaced genomic scaffold scaffold_8, whole genome shotgun sequence.
AUCGUUGUAGUAUAGAGGUAAGUAUUCCCGCCUGUCACGCGGGUGAUCCGGGUUUGUUCCCCGGAAACGGUG